rnacentral:rRNA from 1 species
GAUGAACGCUGGCGGCGUGCCUAAUACAUGCAAGUCGAGCGAACAGAUGAGGAGCUUGCUUCUCUGACGUUAGCGGCGGACGGGUGAGUAACACGUGAAUAACCUACCUAUAAGACUGGGAUAACUUCGGGAAACUGGAGCUAAUACCGGAUAAUAUAUUGAACCGCAUGGUUCAAUAGUGAAAGACGGUUUUGCUGUCAUUUAUAGAUGGAUCCGCGCCGUAUUAGCUAGUUGGUAAGGUAACGGCUUACCAAGGCAACGAUGCGUAGCCGACCUGAGAGGGUAAUCGGCCACACUGGAACUGAGACACGCUCCAGACUCCUACGGGGGGCAGCAGUAGGGAAUCUUCCGCAAUGAGCGAAGGCCUAACGGAGCAACGCCGCGUGAGUGAUGAAGGUCUUCGGAUCGUAAAACUCUUUUAUUAGGGAGGAACAAAUGUGUAAGUAACUAUGCACGUCUUGACGGUACCUAAUCAGAAAGCCACGGCUAACUACGUG